rnacentral:rRNA from 1 species
AAGACCUUGCACUUUUGGAGCGGCCGAUGUCUGAUUAGCUAGUUGGUGGGGUAAUGGCCUACCAAAGCUUCGAUCAGUAGCUGGUCUGAGAGGACGGCCAGCCACACUGGGACUGAGACACGGCCCAGACUCCUACGGGAGGCAGCAGUGGGGAAUUUUGGACAAUGGGCGCAAGCCUGAUCCAGCCAUGCCGCGUGAGUGAAGAAGGCCUUCGGGUUGUAAAGCUCUUUCAGCCGGGAAGAAAAGGUUGCGACUAAUAAUCGCAAUCCAUGACGGUACCGAAAGAAGAAGCACCGGCUAACUACGUGCCAGCAGCCGCGGUAAUACGUAGGGUGCGAGCGUUAAUCGGAAUUACUGGGCGUAAAGGGUGCGCAGGCGGUUUUGUAAGUCAGAUGUGAAMUCCCCGGGCUUAACCUGGGAACU